rnacentral:rRNA from 1 species
GCCGCGUGAGGGAGGACGGCCUUCGGGUUGUAAACCUCUUUUAGCAGGGAAGAAGCGAGAGUGACGGUACCUGCAGAAAAAGCACCGGCUAACUACGUGCCAGCAGCCGCGGUAAUACGUAGGGUGCAAGCGUUAUCCGGAAUUAUUGGGCGUAAAGAGCUCGUAGGCGGUCUGUCGCGUCUGCUGUGAAAUUCCGAGGCUCAACCUCGGGCUUGCAGUGGGUACGGGCAGACUAGAGUGCGGUAGGGGAGAUUGGAAUUCCUGGUGUAGCGGUGGAAUGCGCAGAUAUCAGGAGGAACACCGAUGGCGAAGGCAGAUCUCUGGGCCGUAACUGACGCUGAGGAGCGAAAGGGUGGGGAGCAAACAGGCUUAGAUACCCUGGUAGUCCACCCCGUAAACGUUGGGAACUAGUUGUGGGGUCCUUUCCACGGAUUCCGUGACGCAGCUAACGCAUUAAGUUCCCCGCCUGGGGAGUACGGCCGCAAGGCUAAAACUCAAAGGAAUUGACGGGGACCCGCACAAGCGGCGGAGCAUGCGGAUUAAUUCGAUGCAACGCGAAGAACCUUACCAAGGCUUGACAUACACGAGAACGGGCCAGAAAUGGUCAACUCUUUGGACACUCGUGAACAGGUGGUGCAUGGUUGUCGUCAGCUCGUGUCGUGAGAUGUUGGGUUAAGUCCCGCAACGAGCGCAACCCUCG